GUGGGGAAUAUUGGGCAAUGGGGGAAACCCUGACCCAGCGACGCCGCGUGAGGGAAGAAGGCCUUAGGGUCGUAAACCUCUGUUGUGUGGGAAGAAGAGCGUGACGGUACCACACGAGGAAGUCCCGGCUAACUACGUGCCAGCAGCCGCGGUAAUACGUAGGGGACGAGCGUUGUCCGGAUUUACUGGGCGUAAAGGGCGCGUAGGCGGUCAUUUAAGUCAGCUGUGAAAUGGUUUGGCUUAACCGGAUCAUGCGGUUGAAACUGGAUGACUGGAGUGCUGGAGAGGCAAGUGGAAUUCCCAGUGUAGCGGUGAAAUGCGUAGAUAUUGGGAAGAACACCGGUGGCGAAGGCGACUUGCUGGCCAGCAACUGACGCUGAGGCGCGAAAGCCAGGGGAGCAAACGGGAUUAGAAACCCCUGUAGUCC
rnacentral:rRNA from 1 species